rnacentral:lncRNA from 1 species
CAAUGUGAAAUCAUCCCAGCAUUCCUCCAUUUUUUUGGCAGUGACUUAUCCACCUUUGGGUUAAUAUCCAUGGGGCUGGGACGCUAAGCUGGAUUGUGAUUGAAACCAAUCACUUUUAAAAGCAUUUUCUUUCUACUUGUUGCUCAAGAUUCAAAGUUCCUGGAAGGGAGAGGGGCUGGGAUACGUCAAACUUGAAAACAGUUACUGCUAUCUGAAAGUGGGGGCCCCUUCCUGCUCAUGUGAGCUGGAAGGGCAAAAGAGAAUGAUACAUAUGCUGUUUCCUUUUCCAGUUGUGAAGGGGUCAGGAAUUCAGCAAGGAGUGUCUGAACAAGUGUUGCAUUCUCCUGGGUCCUUAGUCUCUUCCCUGCCUUUCUGGCCGCUCUGUUUAAUCCAGCCGGCGAUUCUGAACAGGGGGAAAAAUCUGUCAGCACAAAUAAGGCAUUUCUGAAGGCGUAAAUUAUGAGUGAACAAAACAAUGUGACACCACCGCCAUGUUCAGACAGGAUGUUCCUGUAUCCUGUUUCAGUUUGCAUCAUGGUAAAUGUGAUCCACAGUGUUUAAAGAAACAAAAUAAGAACCAAAUUCAAUUAAAGGAGAAGCCUUCUGGUGACUACAAACACAAGUUCAGUGCAUUAUUUCCAUGCAGGCCUGUUUUGUUUUCCUGGCACAAAUUGAGAAGCUUUGGCACCAGUCAGUUUCUAAUCAAGGAGACGUUAACGUUCAAUGUGUACAGAGGUCCUGCACAGCACAGACAACAGAUGUUUAACAGAGAGGGACUGUGUCUGGCAAAACAAAGUUGUAUGGCUUCAUAAGCAGCAUGAAAAGUACUGAGGCUGAUGCAAAUAUCCAUAAAGCAUCAGCAAUACAUCAGACGAAUAUUAUUCUAAUUUUUUGAUACCGGCUCGGGAUGCCAGAUAACAGCUGUUUUGUGAGAUGGAUAGAAUAGGGUUGGGUAACCUAAUUACUAGGGUGCUCUGGUGAUCCUCUUGCACUGAUUGAUGAAUGAUAAGGGAUUUUUACUCAGUCUUUCUUUGUAUACAAGUAUAUUCUUGGUGGUCCUGAAAGAGCAUAACAAAAAGAGGAAUGUUUCCAUUUUAAAAUUCCCAGCUUUAUGAACUUAGAGAAUUUAUUUUCCUCCCGUAUUCCUUUGCCUCUCUUCUUCUGAUCAUGGCUCCUUUACAUGCCAUGCAGUGAAGCCAUUAUUGACCUGCUGUGAACAUCCCUGCAAUGGUGCUUUUUAUCUGCAUCAGUUUAUCAGUAAUCUCAUGCUUAUUUUUAUUAUACUCAGCCCAUGAGAUUUCCCCAUAUCCCUCCCGCACCCCCUAGGAAGGCAGUGGGUGUGGACAGUCACCAUGUGGAUUGUUGUUAGAAAACCUAACCUGGACUCUGGAGAUUUCCAGUUCCACGGUAGAGCCUGGGCCUGCUAAACUUUUUCAGGUGAGUUGAAGGACAAAGCCGUGGCUGGGAUGAUUUAGUUGGGGAUUGGGAGCAGGGGGUCAGACUAGAUGACUUCCUGAGGUCCCUUCCAACCCUGAUAGUCUAUGAUUCUGUGACUGCUUGUGUGAGUGAGAAUUACUCGCAGGAAUAAGGGUUUGCAGAAUGGGGGACCAAUCCUGCAAGCUGCUGAACUCUGUCCGUUCCCAUCUCCUUCACCGGGAGCUGAAGGUGUUCAACAGCUUGGAGAGGAGGCCCUCAGCAGGGACAGGCCUUUGAGCACCAGCCUGUGUGUAUGCUUCUCAGGGUGUAGCCUCUAAUGCCCCACGUUGGCUGUCUGGAGCAGCAGAAAGGGGAGAACAACCUCUAUGAAGCUAUUUCCUAUCCUAUGCUGAUGGGUGUAGAGUGACUGGAGCUUUGGUGCUACCAAUGCAAGGCACCAUCCAGCACAGAUUGGAGGAGGAAGUACUAGCGAAAGGGCUAGUGCCUGACCUCCCUUCUGGAGCCAGGGGAAACUCAAGGACCAGAGUCACCAGCUGGUCUCUUGCAUUGCCCUUCAUUCGGGGCUUGUGGCAAAGCCACAGUCAGUCCCUGAGGAACCUUCAUUGGACAAUCUGCUGACUUGGACAUAAACUUGCUUUCGUUGCCUCUCAUUAGUGGAGGCCCUGUCUGGAACAGUAAGUUUUGAAUAAGAAUGGAGGCUACUGAUUGAGGAAAUGUACUUCUCUACUAAGUACUGAGUAUUUAAUGAGUCAGGAACCGUGGUGGAUUACACUGACCCCAUUUUUUAAAAGAGAAGGCCCAAAAUGUACCCACAAAUGCACGUGAAAUUGAGCGCCUGUGUUUGUGUGCAGAAGAGAAGGGGGAUUUGAUAGCAGCUUUCAACUACCUGACGGGAGCUUCCAAAAAGGAUGGAGCUCGGCUGUUCUCAUUGAUGGCAGAUGACAGAACAAGGAGCAAUGGUCUCAAGUUGCGGUGGGGGAGGUCUAGGUUGGAUAUUAGGAAACACUAUUUCACUAAAAGAGUGGUGAAGCACUGGAAUGGGUUACCUAGGGAGGUGGCGGAAUCUCCAUCCUUAGAAGUUUUUAAGCCCUGGCUUGACAAAGCCCUGGCUGGGAUGAUUUAGUGGGGAAUUGGUCCUGCUUUGAGCAGGGGGUUGGACUAGAUACCUCCUGAGGUCUCUUCCAACCCUAAUCUUCUAUGAUUCCCAUGACUCUGCAUGCAAAUUGAAUAUACUUAGUCCAUUCUAUGCAGGCUCUUAUAUCGUGCCCAUCUUCAUAGGUAUCUAUAUGGAAAUGUG